rnacentral:pre_miRNA from 1 species
UACACCUAUACUCCGGUAACAUAUUCCUCCACAUAUGACCAGGGUAUAUGUGUUCC